rnacentral:lncRNA from 1 species
CAAACCAACCCGCAAUCCAAUUCCUACCAAUAUCAACAAUCAAGUGAGAGGUCAAAAUGUGCAAUGAGAGAAAAUCCAAAUGGUAUUCCUUGGAAGGACAAACGAGGUAGGAGCCAUUGCUUACUUUCUUCGACCGUGUAGAAGUAAAUGCUUAAAACUCCUCCCAGUGUACCUGCACCUUUACAACUAUUACCGUCCUUUUCUCAAAACUAUUAAACAACAAAAAAAUUCUUUCCAAAGAAAAAAAAUUACCACCACCUCUAUAUAUCCCUCUAUUUUAUCUAUCUCACUUGUUACUUCUCUUCUGUGCAGCUCCUCGCAUCUCUCACUCAUCAACUCAUGUUUCCUCGACACAAGGCAUGUAAGUUAUACAGCAUAACACUGCUGCUAUUCAAAUAGCUGCCAUCUUUUCUUCAUUCUGUUGGGAAAAAUUCGAAACAUCCCUAUCUUCCUUCUUCUUCCCUCCAUACUCCAUCUAUUCUGGUUCUCUCCUGUUCUUCUUUACAUCCAAACAUACACUGCUUUCAUGGCUGUCUUCAGCAAAAACAUUCUUCUGGCAUUAGUGUUCCUGUUCUUACUUCUGCCUGGAGCUCAGUCAACAUCAGUCUCCGGAGAAGCAUAUCGUGACGAGCCAGCCACUCUCAGGAGCAGCCGUUCAUGGAGGAUUCACAACUACGUCAUUCACAUACAAAGGCACCAAAUUCACCAAUAUGCUUCGCAAGCUGCAAUUCGAACACGGGAUGAGAAACAAGGCACAGCAUCAAGUUUUGUUGCUGAAAACAGACUUGUCCCAACUGGGCCAAAUCCUCUCCAUAACUGAAGGAAAGCAGAUGCCAUACCAUUUCUCUCUCUCUGCUGGUCUUUUCCAGAGGCUUUGAUCAAAUGUCGUACAAGGCAAAGAGGAGGGUUGUACAGAAGAGAGAUACUUUUUGUAGUACUUGCUGCAUUGUGAGCUGUAGGAUAGGAAGAGGAGAUUCUGGGAGAUCAGAAGUCAUUAAAUUGAAAGGGUUAGUAAGGGGGGACAAUGAGGGGUAAAUGUGAUGAGCUUUUCUGUUGAUGGAUGCCAUGUAAGAGCAGAAACUGCACUCCCACAGUUCUGCCUUAAAUAUGUAUAUCAAUUAAUAUUCUGGUAUGGGUCUCUCUCCCACCCUUCUUUUCACCCAAAUAUGCUUAUGGUUUCUGGUCCCUACUGUCCCUUUUCAGCUUCUGCAAUUCCUCCAAGGCUAUAUAACACUUUUCUGAUCAUUCAAAGUAUGUUAAGAGAGUAACGCUACAGUUCAUAUAGGUUAUGAGCAUUCAUACUUUACCUUUCAUAUCUUCAGCACUUUUCGCUUCCUGCCUGUAUGCUUCGUUGGGUUUACUUGGAGGGAACAACUUGGUCACUUUCUAAGAGAGCUAGCAAAAAGUGGUCAGUCCAGUUUCCAAUCACAGUUCCAUUUUCAACCUAUUCCAGCAAAGCAUUUCUUCAUACGUUACCAACUCUAUAAAUGGCUCAGCAGGUAGAAAAGCUUAUACAAAAGUUGAUUUCCAAAUCUGAAGCAC